rnacentral:rRNA from 1 species
GGGCCCGCACAAGCGGCGGAGCAUGUGGAUUAAUUCGAUGCAACGCGAAGAACCUUACCAAGGCUUGACAUAUACCGGAAACACCCAGAGAUGGGUGCCCCGCAAGGUCGGUAUACAGGUGGUGCAUGGUUGUCGUCAGCUCGUGUCGUGAGAUGUUGGGUUAAGUCCCGCAACGAGCGCAACCCUCGUUCUAUGUUGCCAGCGCGUAAAGGCGGGGACUCAUAGGAGACUGCCGGGGUCAACUCGGAGGAAGGUGGGGAUGACGUCAAAUCAUCAUGCCCCUUAUGUCUUGGGCUUCACACAUGCUACAAUGGCCGGUACAAAGGGCUGCGAAAUCGCGAGAUGGAGCGAAUCCCAAAAAACCGGUCUCAGUUCGGAUUGGGGUCUGCAACUCGACCCCAUGAAGUCGGAGUCGCUAGUAAUCGCAGAUCAGCAAUGCUGCGGUGAAUACGUUCCCGGGCCUU